CACACGGGUGCACACACAGAGCUCCGCAGCCUCCUCCUGGGACCCUUGCCCUGCCCCCCUCCCAUGGGCACGGACCCCCCACCGCCUCCACCCACUGCCGCGGGGGGGCCCGUUGGGGCCCAGGGCUGGCGGGCCAUGUAACCAGGGCUGCCGCUGGGAGCGCGGAGGGGAAGGGAGCCCCCAGCCCUGCUGGGCCGGCCCAGGCCCCUCCGCGGCUCCCCCUUCCACUACCCACCUGCCCGGCACCCCCUCCCCAGUGGUUGUUAACCCCGGGACUCCCCAAGCCCAGCCUCUGUGUGCAGCAGCCCCAGGCGGGCUAAGUCUCCAAGAUGCCCUUGGUGGAUUUCUUCUGCGAGACCUGCUCCAAGCCUUGGCUGGUGGGCUGGUGGGACCAGUUCAAGAGGAUGUUGAACCGUGAGCUCACACACCUGUCAGAAAUGAGCAGGUCCGGAAACCAGGUCUCAGAGUACAUUUCCAC
rnacentral:lncRNA from 1 species